GACGAACGCUGGCGGCGUGCUUAACACAUGCAAGUCGAGCGGAAAGGCCACUUCGGUGGUACUCGAGCGGCGAACGGGUGAGUAACACGUGAGUAAUCUGCCCCUGGCUUUGGGAUAGCCACCGGAAACGGUGAUUAAUACCGGAUACGACCACUUCUCGCAUGGGAUGGUGGUGGAAAGUUUUUCGGCCAGGGAUGUGCUCGCGGCCUAUCAGCUUGAUGGUGAGGUAAUGGCUCACCAUGGCUUCGACGGGUAGCCGGCCUGAGAGGGUGACCGGUCACACUGGGACUGAGACACGGCCCAGACUCCUACGGGAGGCAGCAGUGGGGAAUAUUGGACAAUGGGCGGAAGCCUGAUCCAGCAACGCCGCGUGAGGGAUGACGGCCUUCGGGUUGUAAACCUCUUUCAGUACCGACGAAGCGCAAGUGACGGUAGGUACAGAAGAAGCCCCGGCUAACUUCGUGCCAGCCGCCGCUGUAAGAC
rnacentral:rRNA from 1 species